rnacentral:rRNA from 1 species
GUCCACGCCGUAAACGAUGAAUACUAGGUGUCUGGGAGCAUUGCUCUUCGGUGCCGCAGCAAACGCAAUAAGUAUUCCACCUGGGGAGUACGUUCGCAAGAAUGAAACUCAAAGGAAUUGACGGGGACCCGCACAAGCGGUGGAGUAUGUGGUUUAAUUCGAUGCAACGCGAAGAACCUUACCUAGGUUUGACAUCUGGGGAACCCUCCCGAAAAGGAGGGGUGCCCUUCGGGGAGCCCCAAGACAGGUGCUGCAUGGCUGUCGU